rnacentral:rRNA from 1 species
GAAACUUACGCUAAUACCGCAUACGACCUACGGGUGAAAGCGGAGGACCUUCGGGCUUCGCGCGAUUGAAUGAGCCGAUGUCGGAUUAGCUAGUUGGCGGGGUAAAGGCCCACCAAGGCGACGAUCCGUAGCUGGUCUGAGAGGAUGAUCAGCCACACUGGAACUGAGACACGGUCCAG